rnacentral:rRNA from 1 species
UUGGAGGGCAAGUCUGGUGCCAGCAGCCGCGGUAAUUCCAGCUCCAAUAGCGUAUAUUAAAGUUGUUGCAGUUAAAAAGCUCGUAGUUGAAUUUCGGGGUCAGUAGGCUGGUCGUGCCACAGGUAUGUACUGGUCUCACUGAUUCCUCCUUCCUGAUGAACCGUAAUGCCAUUAAUUUGGUGUUGCGGGGAAUCUGGACUGUUACUUUGAAAAAAUUAGAGUGUUUAAAGCAGGCAAUCGCUUGAAUACAUUAGCAUGGAAUAAUGAAAUAGGACGAUCGAUCCUAUUUUGUUGGUUUCUAGGAUUGACGUAAUGAUUAAUAGGGAUAGUUGGGGGCAUUAGUAUUCAAUUGUCAGAGGUGAAAUUCUUGGAUUUAUUGAAGACUAACUACUGCGAAAGCAUUUGCCAAGGAUGUUUUCAUUAAUCAAGAACGAAAGUUAGGGGAUCGAAGACGAUCAGAUACCGUCGUAGUCUUAACCAUAAACUAUGCCGACUAGGGAUCGGAUGAUGUUAAUUUUUUAAUGACUCAUUCGGCGCCUUACGGGAAA